rnacentral:rRNA from 1 species
AACGAACGCUGGCGGCAUGCCUAACACAUGCAAGUCGAACGAGACCUUCGGGGCUAGUGGCGAACGGGUGCGUAACGCGUGGGAACCUGCCCUUAGGUUCGGAAUAACUCCCCGAAAGGUGUGCUAAUACCGGAUAAUGUCUUCGGACCAAAGAUUUAUCGCCUUUGGAUGGGCCCGCGUUGGAUUAGCUAGUUGGUAGGGUAAAAGCCUACCAAGGCGACGAUCCAUAGCUGGUCUGAGAGGAUGAUCAGCCACACUGGGACUGAGACACGGCCCAGACUCCUACGGGAGGCAGCAGUGGGGAAUAUUGGACAAUGGGCGAAAGCCUGAUCCAGCAAUGCCGCGUGAGUGAUGAAGGCCUUAGGGUUGUACAGCUCUUUUACCCGGGAUGAUAAUGACAGUACCGGGAGAAUAAGCUCCGGCUAACUCCGUG